rnacentral:lncRNA from 1 species
AAAACACAAUACUCUUACAACAUAAAGUGGUCAAUACAUUUCUAUAUGUUGUAAGGUUAAUUAGGAGAAAAAAUAAUGGUUGAAAUCGUUAAGUUUAUUCAUUUAAUGAUCUUCUUUAUUUCCUUAUUUCAUGUUGUAGUUGAAGGUGCCAAAGGUUGGCCUGGUAAACAAUUGUUUGAAUCCUUUUGAACUUUAUUGUUUAUCUUUUUAUGCAAAAUAAUUCACCACUUACAAUAAUUUUUUAUUUUUUAAUUUUUUUUUAUAUUACAGCAGAUAAAAGAUUAAACUGCAAAGUUGAUUCUGAUUGUUUCAAAUUUACGUGCCCAGCUCCUUUGAUUCCAGACUGCCGUUCUUAUUAUUGUGUGUGUGAAUUUCUAAUGAAGCCCAUAGGAUAUGCAUGAAAUCAAACAUUCUUGAAGGACUUUAUAUGUAACGAGUUAGUUAUAAAUAAUUGUAUGAUAAAAUAUGUUUUCAGUCCCUACUUUUAUAACGAGUUUUGGUUUCUGUUCCUGUAAAAUAAAAUCACUUUGUUUUUAAGUGAAUUCUUCAGUACACGUAUUAUGUGGAGGUGUACCGGUACACCGCUGAGGUGAUUAAUAGGUAACAAUCAUUUAUUGCGGAUUUUGUUUCUUUAUUAAGUUUUCAU